rfam:Triticum aestivum genome assembly, contig: Triticum_aestivum_CS42_TGACv1_scaffold_062060_1DL
CUUUUACUCCCUCCGUCCGGUAAUACUUAUCCGAGGAAUGGAUAUAUCUAAAUACAUCUAGAUAUAUCCAUUCCUCGGACAAGUAUUUCCGGACGGAGGGGGUACUCC